rnacentral:rRNA from 1 species
UACGUAGGGCGCAAGCGUUGUCCGGAAUUAUUGGGCGUAAAGAGCUCGUAGGCGGUUUGUCGCGUCUGCUGUGAAAACCUAAGGCUCAACCUUGGGCUUGCAGUGGGUACGGGCAGACUAGAGUGCGGUAGGGGUGACUGGAAUUCCUGGUGUAGCGGUGGAAUGCGCAGAUAUCAGGAGGAACACCUAUUGCGAAGGCAGCUCGCUGGGACGUAACUGACGCUGAGACGCGAAAGCGUGGGGAGCAAACAGG